UCCCUUGGUUUUGGGUUUUGGGAGAGGAAUUGAAAAUUAGAGAAAUUGAAGGAAUUGUGGAGGGAAAUUGAAAUUUGGAUGCUCUGAGAUCGGAUUUGAUUUGGAAAUUGAAAUUUGGAUGAUCUGAGAUCCCUCUGUCACCCACGACCUCGCUAUCCGCUCCAUCGCAAUCGAAGUCGAUGACGCCGCCUUUGCCUACUCUGCUAAAAUCUCCCACGACGCAAAGCCAUAUUUGUAAGACCCUGAAUUAUAUGAAAUAAAAGUAUCCAAUAUUCUUAUAAUUAUUAUUCUAUUUAAUAAUUGGUUAAAUUGAUAAAAG
rnacentral:lncRNA from 1 species